GUGAAUCAUCGAAUUUUUGAACGCAAAUUGCACUCUUUGGUAUUCCGGAGAGUAUGCCUGUUUGAGGGUCGGUUAAAUAAAAAUCGGUGUUGUGUUGGCGCUUUGUGUAGUGACGCGGCGGGUUUGGGUCGUGUUGCUUUCGGUUAAGUGUCGUAACAGUUUGCAUGUUUUUCGUACGUAUUUAAGUACUGUUCGUACGUUUGUAAUAGCGGGUAUUAGGUGUGUUCGUUC
rnacentral:misc_RNA from 1 species